rnacentral:rRNA from 1 species
UACGAAGGGGGCUAGCGUUGCUCGGAAUCACUGGGCGUAAAGGGCGCGUAGGCGGCUCGCGAGGUCGGGGGUGAAAUCCCACAGCUUAACUGUGGAAGUGCCUUCGAUACCGGCGGGCUAGAGGUAGGUAGGGGAGAACGGAAUUCCUGGUGUAGCGGUGAAAUGCGCAGAUAUCAGGAGGAACACCGGUGGCGAAGGCGGUUCUCUGGGCCUUACCUGACGCUGGAGGAGCGAAAGCGUGGGGAGCAAACAGG